rnacentral:ncRNA from 2 species
AACAACCUUCGGGGACGGGUGCAAUUCCCUACCGGCGGUAAGGCGUCAAAGAGGUGCCGAGCCCGCGAGCCCGGUAACGGGUUGACCUGGUGCGAAGCCAGGGCCGACAGUAAAAGUCUGGAUGGGAGAAGGUGGCG